UGUAACCCUUGAAAGGGGAAGCCGCUGAGGCUUGGAGCAGCUCAGUUCAAGCCUGGUCUCUGCCUUCCAGAAGCGGCCGUGGUCAUAUAUGCUCCAGCUCCCUCACAGGGCGCCGAUUAAUCACCUACCCAACAACCUCAUUUAACAGAUGAGAGAACAGACCUACAGAGUUUGCUCACCUCUAGGAUGGGAUGAUGACACCUCCCUCACCAAGCUCCUGCGUGGAAUAGUCCCUCGGAGUCCCUGAAAAUUUGAGCAACAUAAAGUGGCGUGACAGGUGAAUUUGUACACAGUUGGGAGGGGAGGAAUGUCUGCUGGAUUCUCAGAAGACCAGAUGGUGUUCGCACUUUGGAUAUAAUUCAGCUAUUUCCCCAAAGGACAGAUCAAGGACAAAGGAGCUGUGUCCCUAGUAAGAUAGCAUUCUUUCAAUACGAAGAUGUAUUUUUGGCCACAAGGGGCCUUUUGAAAACUACCUCUUGGGCAGUUACAGACUCUGUGGCCCUUGAGAGCCACAGGUCAAAGGUCAAGGCCCAUAGAAAUGGCUGUAUCCCAGGACUCGGGGCAGUGGGACUGCUUAUCCUCCUGAGGCCCCUGUGGUGUGGUCAUGGGUACUGCCAAUGUCUGCGCCGCUCUGGGCACUGUCUCAAGCAAAGUUUCCCUGUGACUGGAACACCCGCAGCCCUACUCAGCACGCAGGCAGCGACACAGCAGCAAACAACUUGCGUCUGUUUCCUGGUGGCUUGUUCUCUGGGACGCAGAAAAGAACAUGGCGACCGCCAACAUUCAGGCCUAUCUGGUAAGGCAAUGGGAGUUCCUGGAACGUGAGGGUCCAGAGCCACCUCUUCUUAACUGAAGAGAAGCUCUCCUCUUUGUCUGUAGGAUAAAGCUAAGCUCUGGAGCCUCUCCUCAGCUUCCGCAACGUGGCUCGAGCCCACUGGCCCAGGCUCACUGGAAGCCACAGCCUCCCUGGCCCAGAGCCCAGCCCCUCACACACUUCCUGCCUUUGCACACAAGUCUCCCUCACCCCCUGUUUCUACCAGCUCAACACCUGCCUGUUUAUUGGUGUCUCUGAGAAAAUUUCCCCUCAAGGAACAAGAUACGCUGUUCAUGGCAUCCUUAACCCUCAGACUUGGCUGAUCCACCCAUGCAUCCCACCCCUGACAAGCAUGAGAAAGCAAUCAAAACAGAAGCAAACCUAGCAUGCAGCUCCAUCCUGGGGGCCCCUGCUGGGCCACUUAACCCACUGGUUGCUGCAUCAGGGGGAGGUCCCAGGGGAGAGACAGGGGUGGAGGAGCCGCAGAAGGUACUCAGGUGAUGGUGGUCAGUCUGGCCUCCCUGGUUCCCCAGAUCUGGGGCUCUGUGCUCCACCACUGACGGUUGCCUCUGAGCCCUUUGUCUCGUCCACCCUAGGACUUUCCCCUGGCUCUGGUGUUCGGCUUUCUGCAUGGAACCUGGUUCAAACUCCUGGUUUUGCUGGCCCAACUAUCUGUGAUGGAGGAUUUCCCGCCCCCGCCUCGGAUUCUCAGACCCUCUCUAGCUUUCCACCCUCAAGGGAGUAGUCAGGCUGCUCCUUCCUCCGGGCUCCUCAGCUUUUUGUUCUGUAAUUCAUUAUUUUGUCUUGUAACUAUUUGUCUUCAUGACGGAGCCCCUCCCCGGGUCUGUGAGCAAUUUGAGGGUCGAAAUAUGGCAG
ensembl:lncRNA